rnacentral:rRNA from 1 species
AGCAAUUAUACCGUGAAACUGCGAAUGGCUCAUUAAAUCAGUUAUCGUUUAUUUGAUAGUACCUUACUACUUGGAUAACCGUGGUAAUUCUAGAGCUAAUACAUGCUAAAAACCCCAACUUCGGGAGGGGUGUAUUUAUUAGAUAAAAAACCAACGCCCUUCGGGGCUCCUUGGUGAUUCAUAAUAACUUAACGGAUCGCAUGGCCUUGCGCCGGCGACGGUUCAUUCAAAUUUCUGCCCUAUCAACUUUCGAUUGUAGGGUAUUGGCCUACAAUGGUUUCAACGGGUAACGGGGAAUUAGGGUUCGAUUCCGGAGAGGGAGCCUGAGAAACGGCUACCACAUCCAAGGAAGGCAGCAGGCGCGCAAAUUACCCAAUCCCGACACGGGGAGGUAGUGACAAUAAAUACUGAUACAGGGCUCUUUUGGGUCUUGUAAUUGGAAUGAGUACAAUUUAAACCCCUUAACGAGGAACAAUUGGAGGGCAAGUCUGGUGCCAGCAGCCGCGGUAAUUCCAGCUCCAAUAGCGUAUAUUAAAGUUGUUGCAGUUAAAAAGCUCGUAGUUGAACCUUGGGCCUGGCUGGCCGGUCCGCCUCACCGCGUGCACUGGUCCGGCCGGGCCUUUCCUUCUGGAGAGCCGCAUGCCCUUCACUGGGUGUGUCGGGGAACCAGGACUUUUACUUUGAAAAAAUUAGAGUGUUCAAAGCAGGCCUUUGCUCGAAUACGUUAGCAUGGAAUAAUAGAAUAGGACGUGCGGUCCUAUUUUGUUGGUUUCUAGGACCGCCGUAAUGAUUAAUAGGGAUAGUCGGGGGCAUCAGUAUUCAAUUGUCAGAGGUGAAAUUCUUGGAUUUAUUGAAGACUAACUACUGCGAAAGCAUUUGCCAAGGAUGUUUUCAUUAAUCAGUGAACGAAAGUUAGGGGAUCGAAGACGAUCAGAUACCGUCGUAGUCUUAACCGUAAACUAUGCCGACUAGGGAUCGGGCGAUGUUAUUAUUUUGACUCGCUCGGCACCUUACGAGAAAUCAAAG